UCUCUGUGCUGUCUUAAUAGCUCCUACUUAGCCUUUGCUGUGUGCUCAGUAGAAUAGAAGGGAGGAAACCUACAGCUGAGAGA
ensembl:snoRNA SNORD62 Small nucleolar RNA SNORD62